rnacentral:rRNA from 1 species
UACGGGGGGGGCAAGCGUUGUUCGGAAUUACUGGGCGUAAAGGGCGCGUAGGCGGCCUCUUAAGUCGAACGUGAAAUCCCCGGGCUCAACCCGGGAACUGCGUCCGAUACUGGGAGGCUUGAAUCCGGGAGAGGGAUGUGGAAUUCCAGGUGUAGCGGUGAAAUGCGUAGAUAUCUGGAGGAACACCGGUGGCGAAGGCGGCAUCCUGAACCGGUAUUGACGCUGAGGCGCGAAAGCUAGGGGAGCAAACGGG